AACACCCUUCAUUGCCGUGACAAGUGACAGGUGCUAUGCAGAGCUGCAAUGAUCUGUAGAUACCUCCCAACUUUCCACAACAUUAUGGGUUGUAAAUGAACACUUUCCAUAUUCCCAUUAUUGUAAACUUGGGCCUAUGGUGUGGUGCCAUGGGCCACUUAUUUGUACUUGUCACCCACUCUAAAACUUUCCAACCAUCCACUCUACAGGGCGCUAUCCCUUUAGACUUCACAGCCCUUCUCUGUCACGUUUUCCCUAAUAGGGCUAUCUGAACUUUAUAUAGGAUUUCAUUUAACAUACACUGAAGUUUAAGGAAACAAAUAAGAAAAAAACUGCUUACUGAAAAAGAAGCCCCUGUCUCCACAUACAAACUGAAGGGCAUCCACUAAUUCAGCACCGCAGAGUGUUUCUUGACCAGCAGCCGCUGACUGGCUUAUGGUGCAAAAAAAUGUGACUUACAGCUACCUGAAAGACUGGAGUGUUGCACUGCUGCUGAUGUUGUAUGUCACAGAAAAACCGUCCCACAUACAGAAGUUAGCUGUCUGUCUGGGAGUGGCUGGUACCUGUCUGGCAUUAAAACUUGAAGAAGGUGGCCUUUAACUUUGCAAAUAAUUGAAGACCGUGUCAUGUGCAAUGCAACUUGUUACUGCAAUGACCCUUCCCCAGCAGAUGAACUUUUAACAUGGCCCAUUUUACCAGAGGGGAUGCCAUUACAAUCCCGGCGGCCGAGAUCCCGGCACACAAGAUACCAGUGCUGCAAUCCCAACACACAACAGAAUGCCAUUGACAGAAUCCCUAAAGGGGCCAGGAUACCGAUGCCAGAAUCUCGACUGUCGGGAUCCUGAUCAUCAAGACAACACGGAGGAGUGGGAGAUUGUGGAUUGCAUUUGGAAACCCCCCUUUAGAAAUCCUGCGUUUGCCACUGCAGGUGAAGCUAUUUCACUUGCAAUUCUGUGAGGAGACCUGGAAAACAUGAACUGUUGGGGAUCCUGAGGACUGACUUUGAGAACCUGUGCUCUACACAUUCUGACCGCUACGUGGUUCACGCUACACAUUCUACACUACACAUGCUACACUCAGCAACUUUACAUUCAUGUUGUACAGUAUCAGACCUUUGUACGUUUUCAGCCAUUACUCUAGAUUUUUCUAUUACUUGCAUCGCAAUAAGAGGACAUACAUACUGAAAUAGUUAAUGUUGACUUUAAGCAUUUUUAACUCAGAUUCAAAUAAAAAAAUAUCAUCAUUCCAUAUUCCGAAUAAUAAACAGAACAGUAUAAAAAUCUGGCAGCCAAGAUAAAA